rnacentral:tRNA from 2 species
GCCGCCGUGGCUCAGUGGUAGAGCGCACCCUUGGUAAGGGUGAGGUCGAGAGUUCAAUUCUCUCCGGCGGCACCA